rnacentral:rRNA from 1 species
GAUGAACGCUAGCGGGAGGCCUAACACAUGCAAGCCGAGCGGUAUUUCUUCUUCGGAAGAGAGAGAGCGGCGUACGGGUGCGGAACACGUGUGCAACCUGCCUUUAUCUGGAGGAUAGCCUUUCGAAAGGAAGAUUAAUACUCCAUAAUAUAUUAAUUGGCAUCAAUUGAUAUUGAAAACUCCGGUGGAUAGAGAUGGGCACGCGCAAGAUUAGCUAGUUGGUGAGGUAACGGCUCACCAAGGCAAUGAUCUUUAGGGGGCCUGAGAGGGUGAUCCCCCACACUGGUACUGAGACACGGACCAGACUCCUACGGGAGGCAGCAGUGAGGAAUAUUGGUCAAUGGGUGCAAGCCUGAACCAGCCAUCCCGCGUGAAGGAUUAAGGUCCUAUGGAUUGUAAACUUCUUUUGUAUAGGGAUAAACCUACCCUCGUGAGGGUAGCUGAAGGUACUAUACGAAUAAGCACCGGCUAACUCCGUGCCAGCCGCCGCAGUAACAC